rnacentral:rRNA from 1 species
UUGACGGGACCCGCACAAGCGGUGGAUGAUGUGGAUUAAUUCGAUGCAACGCGAAAACCUUACCUACCCUUGACAUGUCUGGAACCUUGCUGAGAGGCGAGGGUGCCUUCGGGAGCCAGAACACAGGUGCUGCAUGGCUGUCGUCAGCUCGUGUCGUGAGAUGUUGGGUUAAGUCCCGCAACGAGCGCAACCCUUGUCAUUAAUUGCUACGAAAGGGCACUCUAAUGAGACUGCCGGUGACAAACCGGAGGAAGGUGGGGAUGACGUCAAGUCCUCAUGGCCCUUAUAGGUGGGGCUACACACGUCAUACAAUGGCUGGUACAAAGGGUUGCCAACCCGCGAGGGGGAGCCAAUCCCAUAAAGCCAGUCGUAGUCCGGAUCGCAGUCUGCAACUCGACUGCGUGAAGUCGGAAUCGCUAGUAAUCGUGGAUCAGCAUGUCACGGUGAAUACGUUCCCGGGUCUU